rnacentral:lncRNA from 1 species
UUCACUCGUCCACCCGCCUGAGCCAACUUGCCCGCGACUCAGAGUGUGUCUGGACUCCGCUUCCUCCAAUGCCAAAGGAAAAUGUCUAUAAUCUCACUCUUCAGCGGGAAGCGUUGGACUCCGCGGUGGUCCUUGACUACACACACCGCAGUGCCCACCGGGAACGUAUUCCAUAUCUCUGAGCGCCUGGUGGGGAAUGUGGACUGUGACCCUGACUGGAUGAAAUGUAUCAUCAGCAUGGAUUCUGUGAUAAAUUACAAGAUACAAACUCAAAAGGAACUGCUUUCUAUGUGCCUCAUAUUUUAAUGUUUCUCCCCUUUGUGAAUGCUUAGGUGAGACUGUAGUCAUGAAAACUGAGUAAAGACUUUAUUACACACAUUACUGAGGCUUCUCUCCAAUGUGGACAUUCUGAAGUUGAAGACUUGAGGCCUGAAUGAAGCACAUACCACCCUCCUCAUACUUCCGUAGUUUCUCUCCCGUGUGGAGCUUCUGAAGCAUAAUAAAAUUCAAGUGAUCCAGCA